rnacentral:rRNA from 1 species
UACGAAGGGGGCUAGCGUUGCUCGAAAUCACUGGGCGUAAAGGGUGCGUAGGCGGGUCUUUAAGUCAGGGGUGAAAUCCUGGAGCUCAACUCCAGAACUGCCUUUGAUACUGAAGAUCUUGAGUUCGGGAGAGGUGAGUGGAACUGCGAGUGUAGAGGUGAAAUUCGUAGAUAUUCGCAAGAACACCAGUGGCGAAGGCGGCUCACUGGCCCGAUACUGACGCUGAGGCACGAAGGUCAGGGGAGCAAACGGG